UACGUAGGGCGCAAGCGUUGUCCGGAAUUAUUGGGCGUAAAGAGCUCGUAGGCGGCCUGUCGCGUCUGCUGUGAAAUCCCGGGGCUUAACCCCGGGCGUGCAGUGGAUACGGGCUGGCUGGAGGCAGGCAGGGGAGAAUGGAAUUCCCGGUGUAGCGGUGAAAUGCGCAGAUAUCGGGAGGAACACCGGUGGCGAAGGCGGUUCUCUGGGCCUGUUCUGACGCUGAGGAGCGACAGCGUGGGGAGCAAACAGG
rnacentral:rRNA from 1 species